UAAACUCAAAGGAAUUGACGGGGGCCCGCACAAGCGGCGGAGCAUGCGGAUUAAUUCGAUGCAACGCGAAGAACCUUACCAAGGCUUGACAUGAACCGGAAAAGUGCAGAGAUGUGCUCCCCGUAAGGUCGGUUCAUAGGUGGUGCAUGGUUGUCGUCAGCUCGUGUCGUGAGAUGUUGGGUUAAGUCCCGCAACGAGCGCAACCCUCGUCCCAUGUUGCCAGCGGGUUAUGCCGGGGACUCAUGGGAGACUGCCGGGGUCAACUCGGAGGAAG
rnacentral:rRNA from 1 species